UAAGAGCGAAUGGUGGAUGCCUUGACUGGUAAAGGCGAUGAAGGACGUACUAGACUGCGAUAAGCUACGGGGAGCUGUCAAGAAGCUUUGAUCCGUAGAUUUCCGAAUGGGGCAACCCAAUGUAUAGAGAUAUACAUUACCUAUAUAGGAGCGAACGAGGGGAAUUGAAACAUCUUAGUACCCUCAGGAAAAGAAAUCAAUAGAGAUUGCGUCAGUAGCGGCGAGCGAAAGCGUAAGAGGGCAAACCCAGUGCUUGCACUGGGGGUUGUAGGACUGCAAUGUGCAAGAGGUGAGUUUAGCAGAACAUUCUGGAAAGUAUAGCCAUAGAGGGUGAUAGUCCCGUAUGCGAAAAACAAACCUUAGCUAGCAGUAUCCUGAGUAGGGCGGGACACGAGAAAUCCUGUCUGAAGCUGGGUCGACCACGAUCCAACCCUAAAUACUAAUACCAGAUCGAUAGUGCACAAGUACCGUGAGGGAAAGGUGAAAAGAACUGAGGUGAUCAGAGUGAAAUAGAACCUGAAACCAUUUGCUUACAAUCAUUCAGAGCACUAUGUAGCAAUACAGUGUGAUGGACUGCCUUUUGCAUAAUGAGCCUGCGAGUUGUGGUGUCUGGCAAGGUUAAGCAAACGCGAAGCCGUAGCGAAAGCGAGUCUGAAUAGGGCGCUUAGUCAGAUGCUGCAGACCCGAAACGAAGUGAUCUAUCCAUGAGCAAGUUGAAGCUAGUGUAAGAACUAGUGGAGGACUGAACCCAUAGGCGUUGAAAAGCCCCGGGAUGACUUGUGGAUAGGGGUGAAAGGCCAAUCAAACUUCGUGAUAGCUGGUUCUCUCCGAAAUAUAUUUAGGUAUAGCGUUGUGUCGUAAUAUAAGGGGGUAGAGCACUGAAUGGGCUAGGGCAUACACCAAUGUACCAAACCCUAUCAAACUCCAAAUACCUUAUAUGUAAUCACAGCAGUCAGGCGGCGAGUGAUAAAAUCCGUCGUCAAGAGGGAAACAACCCAGACUACCAGCUAAGGUCCCUAAAUCUUACUUAAGUGGAAAACGAUGUGAAGUUACUUAAACAACCAGGAGGUUGGCUUAGAAGCAGCCAUCCUUUAAAGAAAGCGUAAUAGCUCACUGGUCUAGUGAUUUUGCGCGGAAAAUAUAACGGGGCUAAAGUAAGUACCGAAGCUGUAGACUUGCGCACAACUUAGAUUAUUUAAGUUUAGAAUAUGAGAAACUAAGUUAUAUGUUUAGUUAUAUUUUUACUGAUUUUUAUAGAGUAAAGAUAGAAAUAAAACUUAGUAAAAUCAGUAAAAAUAUUCUUAGACUAAAGUUAAGUAGUUUAAGUUGUGUGCAAGUGGUAGGAGAGCGUUCUAUUUGCGUCGAAGGUAUACCGGUAAGGAGUGCUGGAGCGAAUAGAAGUGAGCAUGCAGGCAUGAGUAGCGAUAAUUAAUGUGAGAAUCAUUAACGCCGUAAACCCAAGGUUUCCUACGCGAUGCUCGUCAUCGUAGGGUUAGUCGGGUCCUAAGUCGAGUCCGAAAGGGGUAGACGAUGGCAAAUUGGUUAAUAUUCCAAUACCAACAUUAGUGUGCGAUGGAAGGACGCUUAGGGCUAAGGGGGCUAGCGGAUGGAAGUGCUAGUCUAAGGUCGUAGGAGGUUAUACAGGCAAAUCCGUAUAACAAUACUCCGAGAACUGAAAGGCUUUUUGAAGUCUUCGGAUGGAUAGAAGAACCCCUGAUGCCGUCGAGCCAAGAAAAGUUUCUAAGUUUAGCUAAUGUUGCCCGUACCGUAAACCGACACAGGUGGGUGGGAUGAGUAUUCUAAGGCGCGUGGAAGAACUCUCUUUAAGGAACUCUGCAAAAUAGCACCGUAUCUUCGGUAUAAGGUGUGGUUAGCUUUGUAUUAGGAUUUACUCCGAAAGCAAGGAAACUUACAACAAAGAGUCCCUCCCGACUGUUUACCAAAAACACAGCACUCUGCUAACUCGUAAGAGGAUGUAUAGGGUGUGACGCCUGCCCGGUGCUCGAAGGUUAAUUGAUGGGGUUAGCAUUAGCGAAGCUCUUGAUCGAAGCCCGAGUAAACGGCGGCCGUAACUAUAACGGUCCUAAGGUAGCGAAAUUCCUUGUCGGUUAAAUACCGACCUGCAUGAAUGGCGUAACGAGAUGGGAGCUGUCUCAAAGAGGGAUCCAGUGAAAUUGUAGUGGAGGUGAAAAUUCCUCCUACCCGCGGCAAGACGGAAAGACCCCGUGGACCUU
rnacentral:rRNA from 1 species